UGUAGAUUGAUGAGGGGGGAAAAACAAUUUAAUCAAUUUUAGAAUAAGGCUGUAAUGUAACAAUGUGGGAAAAAGUCAACUAGUUUGAAUACUUUUACGAAUGCACUGUACAUUUUCUAGACAGCAGUCUUCACCUCCAUAGCAACUACAGAGCACUAGGAGGCAAUGUCUUCACUCCAAAAGGUCUCAAAUAACUUAGGUCUAAAUGUCCAUUAUCCACAAGUAAUAGGACUACUCCUUUAGAUUAUUUUGUUUUGAGCAGUGUAGGACUGCUGUUUGUAUUUUGCCCAGAUGCUAUUGAAACAAAGUUAAUAGCUAAGUCUGCUUGUUAGCGCAGAUCUGUUAUUUUUGCUUUAGGUAAUGUUGCAUUAAAAAAAAAUAAAAUAAUGAUUGAAGUGUUAUUAAUAUGGGACCCCAUGUUUGACUUACUAGCCAUGUAGUCAAUUGCAGUGAACUUGAUUUAAUCAUUCUUCGGCAUCUAAUUAGUUAAAAGGCAACUAUAGUUAUUGCCCAUGAGUACAAUUGUAUUUUCUUCCACAGAAUGGAUAGAUGACACAUUCUUCCUCAUAAAUCCUGCUGGUUGAUGAGGAUCUCAAGGGAUUGAUUGGACCAAAAUGAGGACAAGUUUCUAUAAGGAAGGAAACCAUGUUUGGCACUGGGACGACUGGUGUGACCCCAGACUGUGCUGAUCCAGCUUCAGUGGUCCUGUCAUUACAGGAUGAAGGAUGUCUGAAAAAUGCGGAGGUUUUGAAGGACCUCUUUGGCCUAAUAUCCACCUGUUAGAAAGGUUGAAACUUUCACUGAAUCAUUAAGAUAUGUAGUCUUGUUUUCUAUUCCAGUAUGUAUAAUAUGCAAUUUAGCAGACGCUUUUAUCCAAAGCGACUUAGUCAUGUGUGCAUACAUUUUUACGUAUGGGUGGUCCCGGGGAUCGAACCCACUACCCUGGCGUUACAAACGCCAUGCUCUACAAAUUGAGCUACAGAGAAUCAAUGUACCCUGCUUGUUCUGUACUGUGAUAGUUAUUUGUGGAUUUAAUAAAUAUCUAUUUGUUUUAAACCUA